rnacentral:rRNA from 1 species
UACGGAGGGUGCAAGCGUUAUCCGGAUUCACUGGGUUUAAAGGGUGCGUAGGAGGGCAGGUAAGUCAGUGGUGAAAUCUUCGAGCUUAACUCGGAAACUGCCGUUGAUACUAUCUGUCUUGAAUCCCGUGGGGGUGAGCGGAAUAUGUCAUGUAGCGGUGAAAUGCUUAGAUAUGACAUAGAACACCGAUUGCGAAGGCAGCUCGCUACACGAAGAUUGACUCUGAGGCACGAAAGCGUGGGGAUCAAACAGG